GAAGGAUCUGUGUUUGUUAUUGUUUUGAUUUGAUCAAGAUAGCAGAUGCUGCAUUGAACUCUAGUAGUAACUUAGUAAUAGGCUUUGUGCUAUUCACAUUCUGGGAAAACACAUGGCGAAUCCAGUACCACGACAGAACAACUACAGGAUUGCACAACCAGACUUUCUCUGCCACCAACCUAUAUUUCACGGGAUGCUUACAAGUGAUAGGCCAUGGUCAAUAUCCAAAAUCAUUAUUUUAUAUUUUACUAUCUGUGCCAAAUUAAUUUGUCUGGUAACAUUGUAAUGUCAUGGUACUGCCAAUAAUAAUCUUAUAGAUACACUUCAAGAAAAUGGAAUGGUGUACAUUCGAAUGUGAAAACCCACUGUCAUAAAAUGUUUAUUGAAGUGUAUGACACUUGUAUCCCAUGUGCUGGAGUUACUGUUGUAAUGAAUGUGAUUUUUUAGUAUGACAUGUUAAAAACAACUGCAGCAAAAUAAAUUUGAUUAUUGCAAAAGGA